AGUGAACGCUGGCGGCGUGCCUAAUACAUGCAAGUCGAACGGACAAGUAAGAGCUUGCUCUUAUGAGUUAGUGGCGCACGGGUGAGUAAUGUAUAGCUAAUCUGCCCUACACUAGAGGACAACAGUUGGAAACGACUGCUAAUACUCUAUACUCCUAUCUAACAUAAGUUAGAUAGGGAAAGUUUUUCGGUGUAGGAUGAGGCUAUAUUGUAUCAGCUAGUUGGUGAGGUAAUGGCUCACCAAGGCUAUGACGCAUAACUGGUCUGAGAGGAUGAUCAGUCACACUGGAACUGAGACACGGUCCAGACUCCUACGGGAGGCAGCAGUAGGGAAUAUUGCUCAAUGGGGGAAACCCUGAAGCAGCAACGCCGCGUGGAGGAUGACACUUUUCGGAGCGUAAACUCCUUUUGUUAUGGGAAGAACA
rnacentral:rRNA from 1 species